rnacentral:rRNA from 1 species
UAAAGUGGCGACCGGGUGAGUAACACGUGGAUCAUCUACCUCUUGGUGGGGAAUAACCCUGGGAAACCGGGGCUAAUACCGCAUAAGCCUGCAAAGGGAAAGCAGCAAUGCGCCGAGAGAGGAGUCCGCGGCCGAUUAGCUAGUUGGUAGGGUAAUGGCCUACCAAGGCAAUGAUCGGUAGCCGGCCUGAGAGGGCACACGGCCACACUGGCACUGAAACACGGGCCAG